AGAGGACUCUACGAGCAUGGAGGAGGGGAGCGAUAGCGAUAGUGAAGACAGAUACGCAAAUACUGGAGAGGAAGUGGGUAACAGGAGACACCACGAUCGGCGACGGGAAUCUCUCGUAUCUGUAACGUUUGCCACAGAAAGGGGAGAGUGGGGAGAGUGACUUGAUGGGGACAAGUAAGAGAAAGAAAAAUAAUUUGUAAGGAGUCAAAAAGGCGCCCCGGGAAAGAGCCCUCGAGCAAGAACCGAACGGAUGCCCUCCCGCGUUUUGGCCCAUAUAACCGCAAGGUUGGUGGGCCAUGGGUGGUUGUUAUGCUAAAGGUUACAAAUAAAACUACGU